rnacentral:misc_RNA from 1 species
GGUGGGGUUGUCCAGAUUCUCUCAUGGACAUGAGAAUCACAUGUUGCAGAUGAGAAUUAUUGUUUAGCAGGGUAGACCACCCAAAGAUUCAAUGAAUUUGAUUACUCUAAUACUAUGGGAUGUUUAACAUUUUUUAUUUUAGAAAAUAAAAAAAAUUGUUUUCAUAAAGUUAAUAUUUUUUUUUUAAAGUUGAAUUUGUUGAAAUUAUAAUUCUAUGACGCCUAUUUGGAGUUGAGAAUUGUGAAAUUAUUACACCUGAUACUUUAACAUUGCGAUUUGUGUCAUGUUUGUUUAGAAAGUAGUGUGAGUGAUUAUAUUUAUUAUCUGAUUUGAGUACACUACUUCUAUAGUUAAACUAACUACAUUGCGCAAGUAAAUUGUUGUACAUAUAUAAAGGGUGUAUAUGCGGGAUUAGCUAUAUUUAAAUGAGAUUCUAUUGUGUGUGUGUUUUCAAGGUAAUUACAAUUAUCACAUUAAAUUUCACAAUAGCAGAUGUAGGAAGAUUUCCUUCUCUAAUUGGUGUGGGAUGUGGAUUGUUUGGACCUAAUAGGUGUAUAACUCACGAACAAGUGAGAUAUAAGUUUAGAUGUUAUGUUUGGUUAUUAAUUAAUAUGAGGAAUAAUAGUAAGAGAAGUAUAGUAAAGGCACGUGUUAAUAAAAGGAGUAAACUAUGUUAUUCUUUUGGUCUCUUAGAGGAAUGUAAUUGAUAAAGUGAUAAAAAGAGAUUUUAGAAUUUAUAUUGCAUGGAAAUAGGAAAGAGAAAAUUUAAUAGUAACUAAAUUCUAAAGGUUAAAUGUUGGGAAAAUCAGGAGCCCUUAGGCCAUGAUACACAUCAUAAACAGAAGGCAGAGAAAUAAAAGCCACUUAUUACUUAAGAGUAGCCUUGCUACUAUAGAUGAGUUGAUGGAAAAUAUAAAGGUAGUUUAGCUGCUAAAAAAUAAAAAGAGAGUAGCUCUGCUACUAGAGUUCUGAAGAGCAGCUUUGCUGCUAGACAUAUGAAAGUAGCUCCUGCUAAAGAAUACAAAAAGUGAAAGAAUAAAAAGAGAUAGCUCUGCUACUAGAGUCUUGAAGAACAACUUUGAGCUAGAGAUAUGAAAGUAGCUUUGCUACUAGAGUUCUGAAAACAUGUUUAAGAUUUUAAAGGUAAAGUCCUCCGUUAGCGAUGUAAUUGUAGCUUUGCUAGAAGAGAUGACAAAAGAUCUCUUCUGAGAGUUAAAGUUUGAGCUUCGCCUUUAGUUGUGUUUGUCUGCUCCUCAAAUUUGUGAUGUCGCAUGAAGGCUAAAAUGCAUUAUAAGAAACUAUAAGAAGGUAAAAAAUGGACUUGAUAUAAUAAAAACAUAAGGUUAUGGUAAAGCUAGAGAGAGAAGGUAGAUUAAACUGUUAUAAUGCUAAAAUUGAUUUAAAGAAUCUAUAUAGCAAAUUAUUCAAGAGUAAUAUUGAGGAAAAUCUGGAGCGAGAAGGUAGAUUAAGCUGUUAUAAAGCUAAGUCAUAGUACACAAAAUUCCAGUAAGGAACCGUGAGUGUAUAAAUGAGUAGGUAAGGCUAAAUAUAGUGAGAAGACAUAGGACAAAUAAGAAGUAAGACGAAGAAAUAUGAUUGUGAGAAUUGGGAAACAAAAGGUAAUUUAAAUAUCUUAUGCUUCAAUGAUCAUUAUUUUAUUGGUUAGGGAUUAGACAAAAUUAUUAUGAUUUAAGUAUGAUGAAGUUUAUGUCUAGCAGUUUAUUGUCAGUCUUCAUUAUAUAAUUUUUUAGGAAGAAAAUAUAGAUUGUUUUGUUGGUUCAUUCUCCAAACACAACCAAAGAGAAGUUGGUAAACGUGCACACAAGCUAUUAAUGGUUAAAGUACUCAUGGUAUGAAAGUCUCCUUCAUAAUAAAGAUUCCAAUAAGUACAACAACAAUUUCAAAUCUCAAGUAAUUUGAGAGGCUAGGUAGUUUCAAUUGUAAAUAAACUUUAUUCUUUCUUGAUGAUGAAAAUGGACCUUUUUGCUGUUUUCAGGUCUCUUAUGAUAGUUGUAAGUUCUGAAGUUGGUCAAGGUUGGAAAAGGACGCUAUAUCUACUAGACAUUUGAACAGUUAGAUUUACCUGCAAUUUGUGUUAUGCACAUUAACAUUUACACUUUGAUUCGAUGAUAAAAAUUUCAUAAAUAUUGCUUUGUUAGUUUAAGUUAUUGAAUUAUAAUUUGAAUGAAAAUCAUUGUUGGGUUGUAAUUGAAAAACGCUUAAUCCUUACCAAUACCUUGACUAAAUCUUGUUCGUUAUAGUUUCACAAGUACAUGUUACAUAUGAUAGGAAGAAGUACAAUAGUAAUAGGAAGGGGAAUAUU